rnacentral:misc_RNA from 1 species
GAUGAAGAACGUAGCGAAAUGCGAUAAGUAAUGUGAAUUGCAGAAUUCAGUGAAUCAUCGAAUCUUUGAACGCACAUUGCGCCCGUCAGUAUUCUGGCGGGCAUGCCUGUUCGAGCGUCAUUACGCCCCUCAAGUCCCCUGUGGACUUGGUGUUGGGGAUCGGCGAGGCUGGUUUUCCAGCACAGCCGUCCCUUAAAUUAAUUGGCGGUCUCGCCGUGGCCCUCCUCUGCGCAGUAGUAAAACACUCGCAACAGGAGCCCGGCGCGGUCCACUGCCGUAAAACCCCCCAACGUUUUAUAGUUGACCUCGAAUCAGGUAGGACUACCCGCUGAACUUAAGCAUAUCAAUAAGCGGAGGA